CUAGGAGAAGAAGGAGCAAUCCCAGGAGAAGCUCUGCCUCUACAGCCUCUACAAGCAGGCCACCGUUGGCCCCGUCAACACCGGAAUGCGUAUCCUUCAGGACAACUCAAGCCCCUCCUCCUCUCCUGUACAUGAAUGUGAGAUGCUGCGCAUGCAAGAUCUGAGCCAAAUGGCAUAUUGUAAUCUUUUUAUUGCUGGUUUUUAUGUACGAUGUCAUGAAGAUGUACGUUUGAAAUGUUGCUUUGAUAGCAAAAUUGUAUUCCUGUGUACAUGCUGCUUUGACAGCAAAAUUAUGAAAAUUUCUCAA